UAUGCUGGCUGGGAUGACUGAUCCUGAUUACCAAGGUGAAAUUGGACUACUACACCACAGUGGAGGUCAAAAUACAACUAUACCAUCAGCAAUCCUGAAUCUCCAGCUUGCUGAAGGUAAAUCUUAGGACUUUUCAGCUUUCAUAACCAGAACCCAGACUAAUAAAAGAACCAAAUCUAUGUCCAAGGCACGGC